AUGGCGGGAGGGGCUUUUAAAUUUAUUUAUUUUUUGGGUGCAACUCUGCCAGGUAACCCUAAACAUGGGUUAAAGAACUUGUGCUGGAGUUCAAAGGGGCCUUGGAGAGAGCCUGUUCCCCACAGCAUUCAGUGUCACCGGCUGGUCUCUCUGCUGGCCACAGUGGAACUGCAGUGUGGAGGGGACUUUAACGUCAGCACCGCCGGGUCCCUAGUUGCCCUUCCCGCCUCUUCACGGCGUCCCUGGGGAGAAGAGGGAGGCGCCUGUGCUGCCCACAGCCGUGAGGGAGCCUUUACUGACUGCCGACUGUGUCCCUGUGACAGUGGUAGGGCCACGAGGAGCAAGUCACCGUUCUGUUUUUAUCUUCUGCGUAAGUGAACGAGAAUGUCCCCUUUCAUAUCCACCCUCUGUGUAUAUGGGAGUGUGUACAUGUGUGUCAGGGUGUGCACAUGUGUGCCUGCGUAUUUUUUGCUUUUGUCUUUUCGAGACAGGGUCUCACCGCUGCAGUCCUCCUGCCUCAGCUUCCAGAAUGCUGGGAUUAGCAGUGUGCACCACCAAGCCUGGCUGUGAGUAUAUGUCCAUGUGUGAGACUGUGUGUGAGUGUGUGUGGAUUGCUUAUUACUGAGAGGGACGAGCAGCUUGUACCCUCUGGCUGCUGCCGGUCCACAUCUCCUCGCACUUUUAUUGUGUUUUUGCCUCUUUACAGAUGACCCGUCCUUACUGGUUUCUGUCUUUUGCGGCACCUGUUUUCUGCAUGUAGAUGAUUUUAGUUACCAGGGUCACAGAAGGCAUCAAGACUCAGGAGAGGAGGGUAAUAAAUGCUCCUCUUACGUGGGGCACUUCCUUCCCUGGGCGGUGCCUUCCCGUUCCCGGGGACGUGCUGAGCCCAGGGCGUGAGACUGAAGCAGCUCCCCUUCUCAUUUCAUCAGAUUGACCCAGCCUUAUCUUUUCUGUUUAUGUUUCUCUGGACUUUUUCAUUUAUUCUUGUCAUUUGCCUUGGAAAGCUGUUUGGAAAUCUUUUUGGGCCCCCAAGCGGCCCAGAGCAGGUCCAAAACAUGUCGUUUAGUGGCGGGGAACGAAGUCAGCCUGGUGCUUGCAGGGAGCUGAAGGGACACCACCACGUCAUCCACCCUGUCGUAUUUGCUAAAAUGCAACAAAGAAUUACUGCAAAUUUUAUUUGGAAAUAAUAAAGAAUCAAGAAUGGGUGGGCAGACAUUUCCAAGGGAGGGCAAAUAAAAUGUGAGCUGGAUGGAAAGUACUGCAGCCACUAUGGCAUCAGACUAGAGACGAUUAAAAAAACCCAAAAGUGGAAAUUUCAUUUGACUCAGCUAUUCCACUUCUUCCUAAAAGAGUUAAAGACAUCAGGUCAUACUGACGAUGUGCACCCGUGUUUAUAGCAGCACAACUCACAGUAGCUGAAUCUUGGAAUCAGGCUGUGUGCUCAUCCACUGACGGCUAGAUAAAGUGUGGUGUUUACACACCAUGGAGUACUACUCUUCCAUAAAGAAAGAUAAACUUGAGUCAUUUGUAUAAAAAUGGAUAUUCCUUGAGGUCAUAAUGUUAAGAUUUAUUUUUCAGACAUACAAGCUUAAGUAUCACAUGGUUUCUCAUAUGAGAUAACCACACAUAUAAAUAACAGCAAAAUAAAAGACAGAUGGUAAGAAAUAGAGGGAUAAAUCUUUCUCACAUGGGAAGGGGAGCCAGAGACAGAGGGAGGAGCAGAGAGGGGAGGGAAAGAAGAUUAAAAAAGAAAUAAGGCAUACAGGUAUCAAUUCCACACAAGGAAUGUAAAUGUUAUGUACUACAAAUGUGUACUAAUAAAAAUUAAAAAUAUUAAAGAUUAUUGGUACUUAAUCUCUUUAAGUUUGAGAAGGGCAGAGGAUCUGUGGAGCUCUUCUGGAGUAGAUGGGCCAGGCAGAGGGGAAAAGGGAAGACAGGCUGUGGAAGGCUGUAGUGCUGUGAGGAAAGCGACCCAAGUUGCUGUUAAAAGUGCAAGCUCAGGCCGGGGAUUUAGCUCAGUGAUUCCAACACCUGCCUUGCAAGUGCAAGGACCCAAGUUUGAUCCCCGGUACCAAAAAAAAAAAAAAAAAAAAAAAAA
ensembl:lincRNA